UUACCCCAAAAUCAAAAUCACCUCAGCCCAAUUGUCGAUCGUCAACACCACCGCGGUUGCCUCUCUCUGUCCACUUCCUUUGAACGAUCGCCAUAAAACUCCUCCAGCCCACCAAUAUCACUCCCCAUUGUCCACACCUUAGUCACACCUAGCGUCGACUCCUCCUUCAUCGACCUGUUAUAAACAACCAUCGGCAACAUCCCAGCCCACUCUUUCCCUGAAAAUCAAAAUUUUUGGACUGCAGCAGAUAUGCUGGAACUUCCCAUUGACAACCACAGGCAUAGACGACAAAUCAAUAUUCUCCGACGUGGGUUUUUCAAAAUGGGGCCAUGGCUUCUGUUCCUUGCCUCCGAAAACUAGAGAUAACAUUGACAUUUCUGUUUGAAAAUAUGGAUCAUUGGAGCGGAGGGGUGAUCCAAAACGAAGGUGGGAGUGGAAAAAGUCCACCUGACUCGUUGUUGACUCGGUGUUGGAUAUUGAUAUGUGGUUGUUGCUACUUGUCAUAAUUUUCUUGUUGUGAUUACUCUGUUUCCCAUUCUGUGAACUAUUGC
rnacentral:lncRNA from 1 species